rnacentral:lncRNA from 1 species
UGCUGAACCUGGAGAAUCACUUCUACUCUGUGGCUGUAGUGUGCGACUCCUGGCGACCCUGUGCACAGCAGAGCGGAACCCUGCCCGGUCUUUCUGCACCAUCGUCUCCCCUUCCGGAGCUGUGCAGACAACAUCCACUGCUAUUCACAGGGUUUUCAUGGCCAAUUUUUCAGAAGUGGGUGGCCAGGUCCUUCUUCUCAGUCUACCUUAGUCUGGAAGCUCCGUGGAAACCUGUCCACCAUGGAUGGCCCUGCUGGUAUUUGAAAUCCUGGUGGCACAGCUUUCAGCAUCACAGCCACAUGCAGCCACCACAGGAUGACAAUGACAGAUGGGUGGUGUGGGUCCCUGACCAGGAAGUGAACCCAGGCCGUGGCGGUAAGAGCACCGGAUCUUAACCACUAGACCACGGGGCUGGCUACCACUAUUUUCCCAGAGCAAAAAUGGCCACAACUUUGCCCCAGCAUCGCAAGGGACAUCCUGCUGUCCUUCCCUCCUAACAAGAUCAGGACUCAGCUAUUUCAGCAAAAGGCAGAUCUAGAAGACAGCUUUCCUCAUUCUGAGAAAAAGGCAGAUUCCUCGUCUACCGUAGUGCUCAUGGUGGGUCUUUGGCCUUGACCUGGCCAUACCGCUGAAGUACGUUCACAAUUACCAUCAGUAAACAGAAAAGUAAAAGACUAACAAGGCACCAGCUUCGAGAUAAAAUGGAUCGAGUUCCCGUAGUUUGUGUAUAUCGACCUUCUUUCUCAUCCUUGGGACGUGUUGUUCUUCAUACUCCUAUAAGGGCCAGUCACGAUCAACGUAAUGAAAACUUAUUGUAAAUUAUUUCAUUAUUUUGAAUCCAAAAUUCUUGUGAUGAAUAAGCACACUGUGAGAGACAUGCUUGUAGUUUAGGCCAUUUCUAUCAAAAGACC